UAAUACCGUACCUCACAGCACAACUAAUACAAGUGAAUAGAGUUGGCAAAAACUACGAUAAAACCUGUUGGAAAGCAUCUUUUGCAGCGAUUUUUGUGUGAGCAUAUCAGUGAACACCUCUGACCACUCGGCAAAAGUAAAUUUAGGAAUUAAAAGAGAGAGAGAGAGAGUCUAAUGGUUCCUACACAAUCAGGACGAUCUUUCUUCCACAGGUACGGGACCUCAACCACCUGCAUCAACAUUCCCUUCAGGUUCACGAUUACAACAGCACCCAGCACUGACUGCGGUCACACAACACACCAGACAACUGCUUACAAUACAUUUCUCAUAAACUAGCACCGAGACCAUCACCACAAGCGCUGUGACCAGAUCGUGGAUGUUUGUUGAGGCCCUCGAAACCAGUGAUGUUGGCAGCUGGACCCUCAUCUGGUACCAGUCUGGUAACUACCGUGCCCACCAUGAGACUCAACACAGGAAAAGCUCCUAGGAAAAACAAUAGCACAGAAGAGUAUUAACAUUUAUCAUAAAAUUUAAAUUCCUCCGGGACAAAGCAACUUCCGAAGAUAACAAGGAAGUUUUCCACUAAAUGAUCAUCUGCAUUUUCACUGGAGGUUUCCAGCUGGAUGAAGAGAACGGCGUCAUGGACGGUGAUGAAGAGCAGAUCUCUGGUGACCUCUUCAUCAAAGAACGACAGGGCUUCCAUUCUCCUGACAAGCUCAGCUGUAACAUGAGGAGACCUGAGGUUAUUCACUGUCUUCAAAUCACUGUGUUUGGUUAUCCUGAGCCCAGUUUAUAACAUCAUAACUGAGCCAGAUCUUACCAUCACAGCCUGCGAUGUAGACACCAACGCCAAUUCGUAUAAACUCCUUGAUGAGCUAUGAAGAUAAGAGAGAAUGACCUGCGUGUUACAACACUUAUACAGGACUAUUACAAUACACAAAUGGAACACACAAAACUGAUGUGCAAUAAAGAUAGCUCACCAGCUUAAGGGACUUUGCAGCUACCACAUCUAUAAACGAGACAGCAGAGAAAUCCACCACAAGGCUGUGAAUGUGGACCCUGGGUACCGACACAUUGACAGGAAGCUCUGAUGUCCAAUCUACUUGGACCUUCACCUCUGGCUGUUUUGUCCCAUCUACGAGCUCAGGACCCUUUUCACUUUCAAAGGCUUUGUUAUCUACUCCCAUUGAGGCUACUGGUACCAAACCAUCCUGUGAAGAUAUUUGGUGUCAGAGUACAGCCACAUCAGACAUCUGCAUGAACAUUCCCUUCAGGUUAGCUAUAACAAUACCGGCCAACACUGACUGUGGGACAGUAAAGGAGAAUAUGAAGAUAAGUCUCUGUUCUUUAAAGGGGGCAUUUCACCAGACUUUUUUAAGAUGUAAAAUAAAUCGUUGGUGUCCCUAGAGUCCAUAUGUGAAGUUUUAGCUCAAAAUAUCAUAUACAGGUAGAUAAUUUAUUAUAACAUGUUAAAAUUGCCACUUUGUAGGUGUGAGCAAAAAUGUGCCGUUUUGGGUGUGUCCUUUAAAAUGCAAAUGAGCUGACCUCUGUGAUAAAUGGCGGUGUCGUGGUUGGAUAGUGCAGAUUAAUGGGCGGUAUUAUCCCCUUCUGACAUCACAUGGGGAGCCAAAUUUCAGUGACCUAUUUUUUCACAUGUUUGCAGAGAAUGGUUUACCAAAACUAAACUACUGGGUUGAUCUUUUUCACAUUUUCUAGAUUGAUAUUAUAGCACUUAAACAUGGAAAAAGUCGCCCUUAAUGCACAAUGAAUAGUAACUGUAUUUCUAAUACAUUUUUACUUUAUUAAACCAUCAUUUUGGCCUGUCACCCUGUCGUAACUGCCCUAACAUUACACAAUAUUCAUAUUCAGAAAAAAAAGGAUUUUACUAAAUAAUAAAUAUGUUUAAUACUAAACUUAAUAUUUUACAUGUAUAUCUAAUGUCAGAUAAAUGUCUUGCUACCUUACCUCUACAAUGAGGUCUGUAAAGCCCCAUGAAUCAAAAGUGUAAAGCCGUAUUAAACACACGAGGAGGUAAUCAGACCCCCUUUUAGAUGCAAUUUUCAAAUCUUUGCUAUUUAUACUGCUAGAUCAAAAUGAUAGUACAUGCCGAACUAUGGCUAUGCAAAGAUUUUACAGAUAUUUCA